rnacentral:rRNA from 1 species
UCCUACGGGAGGCAGCAGUAGGGAAUAUUGCGCAAUGGACGAAAGUCUGACGCAGCAACGCCGCGUGGGUGAUGAAGCAUCUUGGUGUGUAAAACCCUGUCAGAGGGGAAGAAACGUCCGGGGAGUAACUGUCCCGGGCCUGACGGUACCCUCAGAGGAAGUCCCGGCUAACUCCGUGCCAGCAGCCGCGAUAAUACGGGGGGGACAAGCGUUGUUCGGAUUUACUGGGCGUAAAGGGCGCGUAGGCGGACUUUCAAGUCGGAUGUGAAAACUGCCAGCUUAACUGGCAGCCUGCAUUCGAUACUGUUGGUCUUGAGUACAGGAGAGGAAAGUGGAAUUCCAGGUGUAGCGGUGAAAUGCGUAGAUAUCUGGAAGAACGCCAGUAGCGAAGGCGGCUUUCUGGACUGAUACUGACGCUAAAGCGCGAAGGCUUGGGGAGCAAACAGGAUUAGAUACCCUGGUAGUCCAAGCGGUAAACGAUGGGUACUAGGUGUCGGGGGUCUCGACCCCCUCGGUGCCGCAGCUAACGCACUAAGUACCCCGCCUGGGGAGUACGGUCGCAAGAUUGAAACUCAAAUGAAUU